UAUAUUGGACAAUGGGCGCAAGGCUGAUCCAGCCAUGCCGCGUGAGUGAUGAAGGCCNNNGGGUUNUCAAGCUCUUUCAGUGGNGACNAUAAUGACGGUACCCACAGAAGAAGCCCCGGCUAUCUUCGUGCCAGCAGCCGCGGUAAUACGAAGGGGGCUAGCGUUGUUCGGAUUUACUGGGCGUAAAGCGCACGUAUGCGGAUUGGUCAGUUAGGGGUGAAAUCCCGGAGCUCAACUCCGGAACUGCCUUUAAUACUGCCAGUCUAGAGACCGAGAGAGGUGAGUGGAGCUCCUAGUGUAGAGGUGGAAUUCGUAGAUAUUAGGAAGAACACCAGUGGCGAAGGCGGCUCACUGGCUCGGUACUGACGCUGAGGUGCGAAAGCGUGGGGAGCAAACA
rnacentral:rRNA from 1 species